AUGGCGAGGCUGCUCGUGCUCCGCUCGGCGCCGUACCACCGGGCCAGCCUCUCCGCCGCCGCCACCGCCACCUCCUCCCGCUCCGCGUUUUUCCCCCGCCUCGCCCGCCGCCACCUUUCGUCGCCCCUCCGCGUGCCGGUCCGCGCCGUCGAGUCGUCUUCGGAGGCCACCAAGCAGGAGGAGGCGCCUCUGGCCGCGGGCGAGGCCCAGGAGCCGCUGCCCGCGGCGCCCGCGUUCGUGGUGGAGGAGCUCGGCUGGGGCACCCAGCUCGCGGUCAAGCUCAAGAUGCUCGUCGCCCCGCCGUGGAAGCGCGUCCGCAAGGGCAGCGUCCUCACCAUGACGCUCCGGGGCGAGAUAUCCGAUCAGUUGAAGACGCGCUUCUCGUCAGGGCUCUCACUGCCGCAAAUCUGCGAGAAUUUCGAGAAGGCGGCAUAUGACCCACGGAUAUCAGGGAUUUACCUGCACAUAGAGCCGCUGAGCUGUGGAUGGGGAAAGGCGGAGGAGAUCAGAAGGCACAUUGUGGAUUUCAAGAAAUCUGGUAAAUUUGUUGUCGGUUACAUGCCCGUCGGAGGGGAGAAAGAAUACUACCUUGCUAGUGCAUGUGCUGAGCUGUAUGCACCGCCAAGUGCUUAUGUUGCUUUGUAUGGUCUAACCAUUCAGCAGACAUUUCUCAGAGGUGUGCUUGAGAAAGUUGGAGUACAGCCAGAAAUUCAACGAAUUGGUCGCUACAAAAGUGCUGGAGACCAACUUGGGCGGAAGAGCAUGUCAAAUGAAGUUAAGGAGAUGCUGGGUGCACUGCUUGAUAAUAUCUAUGGAAACUGGCUAGAUACAGUGUCUUCCACACAUGGGAAGAAAAAAGAAGAAAUUGAGGAAUUUGUCAACUCAGGAGUCUAUCAGGUCGAGAGACUUAAGAAAGAAGGUUGGAUAACAGAUCUAUUGUAUGAUGAUCAGGUAAUGACAAUGCUGAAAGAGAGAGUAGGACAGAAUGACAAGAAAAGCCUGCGUAUGGUUGACUACAGUAAAUAUUCACGUGUAAGAAAAUCAACUCUUGGGAUAGGAGGAGGAGGAGACUUAAUUGCAGUAAUCAGAGCAUCUGGAAGCAUAACACGAACUCGCAGUGGCCUGAGUGUUUCUAGUUCGGGCAUUAUUGCCGAGCAGUUAAUCAAGAAGAUACGUACUGUUAGAGAGUCAGAAAAGUAUAAAGCUGUUAUCCUCCGUAUAGACAGCCCUGGUGGUGAUGCUCUUGCUUCUGAUCUGAUGUGGAGGGAAAUUCGACUCCUGGCUGAGUCCAAGCCUGUGGUAGCUUCCAUGUCUGAUGUUGCUGCAAGUGGUGGAUACUACAUGGCAAUGGCUGCGCCAGUUAUUGUUGCUGAGAAACUUACUCUAACAGGAUCAAUUGGAGUUAUUACAGGAAAAUUUAUCCUUCAAAAGCUGUAUGAGAGGAUUGACUUCAACAAAGAAAUUCUAUCUAGGGGUAGAUAUGCAGAGCUUAAUGCCGCUGAUCAACGCCCUUUAAGACCAGACGAGGCAGAACUUUUUGAGAAGUCGGCGCAAAAUGCUUACGCAUCGUUUCGAGAUAAAGCAGCCAUGUCACGCUCAAUGAGUAUUGACCAGAUGGAGACUGUUGCACAAGGUCGAGUUUGGAGCGGCCAAGAUGCAGCUUCAAGAGGGUUGGUUGAUUCGCUAGGUGGAUUCUCACAAGCGCUUGCUAUUGCAAAACAGAGAGCUAAGAUACCACAGGAUAAGAAGGUCCGACUAGUUGAGAUCUCGAAGGCCUCGCCGACGCUACCGGAGAUCUUGUCAGGCAUCGGGGGUUCAGUGCUUGGAGUUGACAGGGUCGUGAAGGGGGUGCUGCAGGACGUCACCUCCUUAAAUGGAGUCCAAGCUAGAAUGGAUGGCAUCUUGUUUGAAAGACUGGAAAACAUGCCAGGAGAAAAUCAGCUCUUCUUGCUCGUAAAGGAAAUCACAAAUUAUUUCGGUUGA
rnacentral:rRNA from 1 species